rnacentral:rRNA from 1 species
UACGUAGGGGGCAAGCGUUGUCCGGAUUUAUUGGGCGUAAAGAGCGUGUAGGCGGCCAGGUAGGUCCGUUGUGAAAACUCGAGGCUCAACCUCGAGACGUCGGCGGAAACCCUCUGGCUAGAGUCCGGAAGAGGAGAGUGGAAUUCCUGGUGUAGCGGUGAAAUGCGCAGAUAUCAGGAGGAACACCUAUGGCGAAGGCAGCUCGCUGGGACGUGACUGACGCUGAGACGCGAAAGCGUGGGGAGCAAACAGG